UACGUAGGCAGCAAGCGUUGUUCGGAGUUACUGGGCGUAAAGGGUGUGUAGGCGGUUGUUUAAGUUUGGUGUGAAAUCUCCCGGCUCAACUGGGAGGGUGCGCCGAAUACUGAAUGACUAGAGUGUGGGAGAGGAGAGUGGAAUUCCUGGUGUAGCGGUGAAAUGCGCAGAUAUCAGGAAGAACACCCGUGGCUAAGGCGGCUCUCUAGUACGGUACUGACGCUGAGACACGAAAGCGUGGGUAGCAAACAGG
rnacentral:rRNA from 1 species